UAUAACAUUAACCAGUGGGGAAAAGGGAAAGGAGUGUUCUUGGUGGAAGAACUAAAGGGAAAACGUGGAACAGAGAAGAUUCUAGGCUAAGGGGCAGACUUGAACAAUAACUGACAAGACAGGGGGAGGGUACAAUUCUCUUACAAAAGGGGGUGGAGAACUCAUACAACUGCUGUUUCCCAUGGCAACCCUAGACUGCCUUCCCCAACCCCUCCUCCUACACCAGUGACAGCUUUUCACACUGAAGGCAAGUGCUAUUGUAUAACAAACACUUAACUCUUAGCCCAGCCGGGCUCGCUGGCUACUUUUGCAAGCUUUUUACCAACUAGCGAUGCUUGUAAGCGGUGCUUGUAACUCCUAGCUUGUACCACGCUCCCACUAGCUGCGCUAUCAGCUAGCGGCGUUCAAAGCAGCUCCUCAAACCGCGGCUUGUGCCCGCGCGCCCGCUGCGCUAUCAGCUGGGCUGCGCCUAAAGCACCUUUGCAAGCCCCGACUUAAGCCCCGCGCCGCGCUCCCCUCGCUCGCCAGGGACAGCCCGUGCCACGCAUGCGCACCACCCGCUCUAUCAGGUAGAGUGCGCACUACCCGCACUAUCAGGUAGUGUGGCUGAGAGCUGCCCUGCGCAUGCGCCCCACCCGCUCGAUCAGGUAGAGUGGCUGCUAGCCGCCCCGAGCAUGCGCACUACCCGCACUAGCAGGUAGUGUGGCUGAGCUGCCCCGCGCAUGCGCACUACCCGCACUAGCAGGUAGUGUGGGCUGAGAGCUGCCCUGCGCAUGCGCUCUCUAGCACUGCCGCGCCGCGUCUCUCUAUCUUAGCAACGCCGCACCGCGCAUCACCGUUCCACUCACACAUACACACACACGCACAAGCACGCACGUCCGGACGUAACAGACACACUACACUGCAAUCGGGACACACACCACACACUGAAAUCGCGAUUUCGCCCUCCCCGAGCCGCGCUAUCAGCUGGGGAGGUCCUCCCGCCGCCGGCCUCUCCCCCGAUGGCGGUCUGCUUGCAAGCCCCUAGGCAAACCUGCGCGCAAAAACAUCUUUUUGCGACUUAUCAGUGCCAACCUUAAGAAAAUAAAUUAAUACAUACCGCUUUCAUCCGCUAGUCGACGGGCCGUGGUAUGCUCCUCGCAGUGUACAGCCGAGGCGCAGAGUCCCUCCGGGGAAAAGCCCCGUGGCGCCUGAGGGUGUCUGCUCCCAACCGGACCUGCGGGUGAGCAGAGCAGUCCCUUCGUGGUCGCCAACUGAAACGAUACGCGGAAUAAAUCAAUAGACUCCAUAACCUGGGGUAGUUAUGAAGUGGACGUUCCAUAUGCAAUACACUGCACGACUUUUUCAUGCGUAUUCAACCCCUGGCCCCGCCUGUCCUCGCUUCUCAUGCUAAAGCUGUCACAAAGCAGAAGAGCAGCUGAGAUGCUGAAAAGCAGCAAAGCUGAACAGCCUGCCUCAGCUUCAGCAGUGUGCAAUUGACUGAAGGCGAAACACGAAGCAGCACAGCAGCGGGCUUCUGUGCGCACUGAAGGCAAUUGCAAGAAUCCAGCAGCUGCUCCUUGCCAAGCACAGUCAGCUGCCUAGGUU